rnacentral:rRNA from 1 species
GAUGAACGCUGGCGGCGUGCCUAAUACAUGCAAGUCGAGCGAACAGACGAGGAGCUUGCUCCUCUGCCGUUAGCGGCGGACGGGUGAGUAACACGUGGAUAACCUACCUAUAAGACUGGGAUAACUUCGGGAAACCGGAGCUAAUACCGGAUAAUAUAUUGAACCGCAUGGUUCAAUAGUGAAAGACGGUUUUGCUGUCACUUAUAGAUGGAUCCGCGCCGCAUUGGCUAGUUGGUAAGGUAACGGCUUACCAAGGCAACGAUGCGUAGCCGACCUGAGAGGGUGAUCGGCCACACUGGAACUGAGACACGGUCCAGACUCCUACGGGAGGCAGCAGUAGGGAAUCUUGCGCAAAGGGCGAAAGCCUGACGGAGCAACGCCGCGUGAGUGAUGAAGGUCUUCGGAUCGUAAAACUCUGUUAUUAGGGAAGAACAAAUGUGUAAGUAACUAUGCACGUCUUGACGGUACCUAAACAGAAAGCCACGGCUAACUACGUG